rnacentral:lncRNA from 1 species
CCAGGCAGUGUUUUUAUUUUACAGAUAAUCUGAGUUCAGCUUGGUUAAUCACGUUACUAUGGAUGUACAGCUAGUGAGUGACAAUGCUAGCCUUCAAAGCUAGGUCAGUCUGAUUCCAAAGUCCACAUUCUUUCCACUUUACCAUUUGCAUCUAUGUAGCAUGCUUGUUAAAAGCUUUUCAGAUAAUAACAUUAAUAAUUGCCAUUUUAAAUAUCAAAUAUGUAUGAGGUUCUUUUUAUAUACUACAUAAACAUUAUUAUUAAUCUGUAUAAUAAAAUUACUUGGCUAUUAUUUCUUUUCUUCCCCUUCUUUUCCGUUUUUCUCCCCAUUGUGUGGCUAUAAAACUAUACCCUUUCUUGGGUUCUUUAUUUCCUUUUACUAACUAUAUCUCACUAGUUCCUCCUGGACACACUUUUCUUGCCAAAUGUUAGUUUUUCUGAUGCUUUCUAAAUUAAAUAUAUUUAUUUAUAUGACGAACAUUCACCAAAACUUAAGAGUACCAGGAACCAUGCUAGACUAGGCCAUGAAUAAAACAUGACUGCUGUCUACCCAGGCCUGUGAAAGACUUUACAUCUAUGAUAGCACUGUAGUAACUACCAAGGCUACAUGCAUGUGUACUUACAUGCAUGCAUACAUACAUUCAUUCCUACAUUUGACAAA